UACGUAGGGUGCGAGCGUUAAUCGGAAUUACUGGGCGUAAAGCGUGCGCAGGCGGCGCGUUAAGACAGGUGUGAAAGCCCCGAGCUUAACUUGGGAAUUGCGCUUGUGACUGGCGUGCUGGAGUGUGGCAGAGGGAGGUGGAAUUCCACGUGUAGCAGUGAAAUGCGUAGAGAUGAUGGAGGAACACCGAUGGCGAAGGCAGCCUCCUGGGCCAGCACUGACGCUCAUGCACGAAAGCGUGGGGAGCAAACAGG
rnacentral:rRNA from 1 species